AGUUAAAUUGUAUCUUCCAAGAGUGAUUAAACAGUAGGACAACAGCGCAUGCAUGACCCAAAUAUGUUACAGCAGAUAAGCAUCAUCUCCAAUAAAAUUAAAAAGAUGCUAUCAACAACUUCUAUCAUGUUUUUGAAUUUUCUGUCAUGUUUUUGAAUUUUAAAUUUAUAACUUUCAACAGAUUACUGGAAGAAAUGUCAUUAUAUAAAUACCUCUAUAAUCAAUAAAAUUAAGAUCAUUCAGUCUCAAUAUAUGCUUUUAUAUCCAUAUUUAUAACCUUCCUUCAAAAAACCAACAUUGUUCCUCAAUUAAAUUAUGGUGAUAACACAUCUUGUUUAAUUAUCAAAUUAAUUAUGUGAGAUCGAUCAGAUAUGAUUAGCAAUACAUAGAAAGUACACAAAAACCUAUAUAAAAUAUAAAAAACUUAAUGAAAUAUUGAUCUUAAUGAAACAUUAAUCUAUUAAAAUAAACAUUAUAAUAAUAAACUCUAAAAAUAGCUAAAAUUAAUUAAAAAAUAAAAAUCCCUAAGUUAACAACAGAAAUCUAAAGCUACAAGAAAUAAUGUAACUAAAAGCCCGUGGACAACAUCCCACACAACAAAUGAAGAAUAUAUUUGCUUUGGUUUUGAAAAGAGUUAUUAAAUUAGGUUACAUCACAUAGUUUGUGUUAGGGAAACUCGUUGAUAAUAAGAAUGGAAACACAUAAGGUACAAGUUUUAU
rnacentral:misc_RNA from 1 species